GACGAACGCUGGCGGCGUGCUUAACACAUGCAAGUCGAACGCUGAAGCUUGGUGCUUGCACUGGGUGGAUGAGUGGCGAACGGGUGAGUAAUACGUGAGUAACCUGCCCUUGACUCUGGGAUAAGCCUGGGAAGCUGGGUCUAAUACUGGAUACGACAUGUCACCGCAUGGUGGUGUGUGGAAAGGGUUUUACUGGUUUUGGAUGGGCUCACGGCCUAUCAGCUUGUUGGUGGGGUAAUGGCUCACCAAGGCGACGACGGGUAGCCGGCCUGAGAGGGUGACCGGCCACACUGGGGCUGAGACACGGCCCAGACUCCUACGGGAGGCAGCAGUGGGGAAUAUUGCACAAUGGGCGGAAGCCUGAUGCAGCGACGCCGCGUGAGGGAUGACGGCCUUCGGGUUGUAAACCUCUUUCAGCACGGAAGAAGCGAAAGUGACGGUACGUGCAGAAGAAGCGCCGGCUAACUACGUG
rnacentral:rRNA from 1 species